GAGCUGGGAUUUAAGUUGCAGCAAAACUUUACAUCACAACUUACAAACAAAUCCUCAGCGGAGUUCAAGCAAUUAAGUGACAACGUUACCACGGCGCUCAACACAAUCUAUUCAGAGAAAUAUGGAGCUGCCUUCAAUCGAACUUUCAUCAAAGGCUUCCGUCAAGGAUCCGUUGUUGUCGAUGCUGUUCUGAUAUUCAAUAAUGGGACUACACUGCCUAAUGCCAGUUCUGUGGCGAAAACUUUG